UAUUCAUUAGCACAUCAAAAACUUUAGUUUUAUAUCGUAUAGAUAGAAUGAAAUAUGAAAAGAUGCCUCAGUAAGAGAUUUACUUGGUUUCACCGUCCAACAUCUACCUACAUCUUUUCAUUCUCUCCAAAAAUAAUGAAGCCAUAACUUUCAUCCUUUGCAAAGAAAGUAAAUUUUCAGGGAAGCUCCUUUUCUCUGCCAAGUGUAAAUUUUGAAACACUCCUCAGUUAGGUCUGCAUGCACAAAGUAAUGGAGGAAAUACAACCAGCCAACAAGCUAAUCCAAGAAAUAGGAGCUCACUGUUACUUUACUUACCUGAAUAUCUAAAAUCUUGGUUAUUUCAGCCUGAAUUAUACAGAAUUAUUGAAUCAUUUCUAAGUCAUUUUGUGUGUGUAGGCACAGUCUAUUUUAGGGCUCUAUUCUUUAUAUCCAUAAUCAGAUGAGCUAAUGUAUGAAAUAUUAAGCUUUAUAACUCUUAUUUCAAUUUUCUUAAUAAUCUAUCUCCUGCUUACCUUGGUGUGUAUGAACAGCAUGGGCCAAGGAACUGUUUUUUUUCCGGCUUUCAGACGUCAGAUUGCUUCCUUUCACACCUUGGAAUGUCAGAAAUGUUAUCCAAGUGGUGGAAAGUGAUUGUCUUAGGGAUUCAGGAAAGAUUUUUACCUGACUCCAGAACAACUAAUUCAGAAUAAAAGCAGUUCUAUGUAUUUUCCAAAUCUCUAUUUUCUGAAAUCUAUAAAAACUGAUCACAAUAGUACUUCUAAGAAAUGAUAAUGAUAUUCUCUUAUUCAACAUUAAGUAGCUCUCCUAGUGUCUCACAGCUAGUAAGUCCUAGUGUCUCUCAGCCAGGACUGAGACCCAGGCAGUGUGGCUCAGAGCUGGCUUGCUUGUCCUUUACACUCUUGCCUAUCUGUACCAUUUAUACACCUAGAACAUUCUGCCUUCAGAUUCCUAGAGAGUUUUCUCCUUUAGUUAAGUGUCAUCUCAUUAGCAAAGCUUCUCUGAACACUGUAUUUAAAAUUGUAGCACAUCUUAUGAUAACUUUUGAGGACAAGCAUCUCUCCAUGUAAAUAGCCUGAAAAUGUAAGAGGAAUGGAAUAGUUAAUUAAAACAUGACAUGCUCAUAGAUAAAAUAUAGGUAACCAUAAAGAUAUGUAAAUAAAGUAUAUAAUUCUAAAUAUGCUUGGGAUACUAAUGCAUGCAUACAUAUAUAGCUACUUCCAUAUAUAUAUAUAUUUUUUUUGAGACGGAGUCUUGCACUGUCGCUCAGGCUGGAGUGCAGUGGCACGAUCUCGGCUCACUGCAAGCUCUGCCUCCCGGGUUCACGCCAUUCUCCUGCCUCUGCCUCUGGAGUAGCUGGGAUUACAGGCGCCCGCCACCACGCCAGGCCAAUUUUUUUUUUCUAUUUUUAGUAGAGACGGGGUUUCACCGUGUUAGCCAGGAUGGUCUCGAUCUCCUGACCUUGUGAUCCGCCCGCCUCAGCCUCCCAAAGUGCUGGGAUUACAGGUGUGAGCCAUCUGCAAAGACCCUUUCCCCAAAUAGGGUCCCCUCUAUAGGUUCUGGGUAGACAUAUAUUUUGUUGUGGGCCACCAAUUAACCCAGUACAUAUAGUAACAAACAUUUACCUUUGCUAAUGGUUUAUAUUUAACAAUAAUUUUUUUAAAAAAAUUCUCUGUUUUAUCAUUUAUAAAUUUCAAAAAGUUUAAAACUCUAACGUGUUUAAUUCCAAAUGUGACUUUGGCUGGGUCUCUCUCCUAAGCAGCACUUUAGUAGAUUUUUCUCAGGCAGAAUGCAAAAGGUCUACAUCAGAGUAGAACUGGCCCUGUGAUUAGCUAUGCUAAAUUGAAACCUUAUGAAAUAUAGUGUGGUUACAUUAAAUGGCAGUUAGAAUGUGGUCUACAUUAUUACAAAUAAAUGUUUUUCAUUAUAUUUUACUGUCAGCAAAUGCUGGUAUAAAACUCAUUGCCUUUCCUCAUAUGGCUACCUUGAAGGGAGUCAGAAAAUACAUUGGCAUCUGAGAUCUUCAUGUGAAUUAUUUUGAGAAUUCCAAAGACUCCAAACUCAAU
rnacentral:lncRNA from 10 species